CUGAUGUAUAAAGAUGCCGAGAACAGUAUUGAAUGUUGUACAACAUGUAAUAAUUGCAAGCGGAAACGAUCUCGAGCUAUUAGACGCUAUGUACAGGAUGUAAACUCUUAAAAUCGAAAUAUCGUGAACAGUACUUGAUGUGCAUACUUGACCCUACCCUCUUUCAUUCUAUACCCCAAGUGUGAUUUUAAAACAUUCCAUAACUCAGUGAUUUUACAUUAUUCAUCAUAGCUAGUUUCUAUAAUGCUAUAUUAACUCAUAAAAAUGUGCAAUGUUAGUAAAGCCUGCACCAGCUGUUGUGGCAAUGCAAG